rnacentral:lncRNA from 1 species
AUUGAAUCAAUAGGAAUAAUAAUAACGAUAAAUCAUACUCUCUCUCUGUUCCCCUUUCUUUUUUGCCCCGAGGACACCUAACCUUUCAAGCCCUCAACGGUAGAACAAAGUCAUCCCUCUUUUUACUCUCCGGUCGGGUCAGCUCGCGCAGACGGCUUUCCGCGUUCCAGAGCUUUUCUCUAUCCCUCUGUCACUUUAGAGAGGAAAAAUUGUUAAUCCUUCCAACACAUUGAAAACUUCCUUCCCGCGAAUUCCCCUUUGCGAUUAUUUAUUUCCCGUCCACCGCUCGAUGAUUCCAAGAAAAUAAAAAUCCGUCGUUUGAAACAAAAAAUGAACGAUCCCAAUGCUUUGCGGGUAUUACACUUGAUUCGGAAAUUCUACAAAAAUCGAUGUUAACAUUGCGUACAUUUUUAUCAUCCGAAUAAUAUUAACAUUUUAUUGCGAACUUUGAUCCAAAAAAUGGGUUUGUUUUUAAGGUUACGCGUCGAGACCGUUCUAUAAACCGUGAAUAAUAUUUUUUGUUACUUUCGAGCUUUGAAAAAUGUAUGCAAAGUACCGUAUGUAUUUUUUAUUAUCAAAAAAGUUUCCUAUCUCUCGGCCGGGAAAGUAUUUUUCUCGUCUCGUCUAUAAAAAGAUAAACGUAAAAGUGGUCUCUGUUUUUUCUGCGCGUGAUCGCGUUAUACAAUUCCAAGGAAAAAUGAAAAUCGUGUCAGGAAUGGUAUACGAGUCGGUUCGAAACUUUGUCAAAUUCGCGUAAUAUUUGACGGCGUUGGGGUGGACAUUUUGAGAACCCCUGCGCUAUACUAUCGUUGCAUUUACGCAAUUCUCGAAAAUACGGUUACCGUUCUAUCCGUGGGUCGAGAAGACGCGCAACGAACCCAAAGCUAUAGGGUGGUAGAAAACGCUCGCUCGCAUAGUACUACGUAGAAAUCUAGGUGGAAGUAAAGCGUCUUAAAAGCUCCACCGCUACCACGGAAGACCACAAAGGGAAUUUCUUCGGUAACGCUUGGAAAGGUAUAUGAGAAUAAGUAAAUGUCUAAGGAAAA